rnacentral:rRNA from 1 species
UACAGAGGGGGCAAGCGUUAUUCGGAAUUAUUGGGCGUAAAGGGCGCGUAGGCGGCCUUUCAAGUGACGGGUGAAAUCCCUCGGCUUAACCGAGGAACUGCCUGUCAGACUGGAAGGCUUGAGACCGGGAGAGGUGAGUGGAAUUCCCAGUGUAGCGGUGAAAUGCGUAGAUAUUGGGAGGAACACCAGUGGCGAAGGCGGCUCACUGGACCGGUACUGACGCUGAGGCGCGAAAGCGUGGGGAGCAAACAGG